rnacentral:rRNA from 1 species
GACGAACGCUGGCGGCGUGCUUAACACAUGCAAGUCGAACGGAAAGGCCUGCUUUCCCUUGUGGAUUGCGGGUACUCGAGUGGCGAACGGGUGAGUAACACGUGAGUGAUCUGCCCCCAACUUGGGUAUAAGCCUGGGAAACUGGGUCUAAUUCCCGAUAGGACUGCAGGGUGGUGCCUGUGGUGGAAAACGAUUUUCUAGUGGUUGGGGAUGAGCUCGCGGCCUAUCAGCUUGUUGGUGGGGUAAUGGCCUACCAAGGCGGCGACGGGUAGCCGGCCUGGGAGGGUGGACGGCCACAUUGGGACUGAGAUACGGCCCAGAAUCCUACGGGAGGCAGCAGUGGGGAAUAUUGCACAAUGGGCGGAAGCCUGAUGCAGCGACGCCGCGUGGGGGAUGACGGCCUUCGGGUUGUAAACUCCUUUCGACCGCGAGGAAGCCACCUGGUUGGAAGGGUGGUGACGGUAGUGGUAGAAGAAGCACCGGCUAACUACGUG